ensembl:lncRNA
GAGCAAAACCAUGCAAGCCUUCAAUAAGACAGCUUAAAUCUGACGCCAGGCCAGGGAUUGAACUCUGGUCCUUGCACUUGAGCAGCAGGCGGCGAAACUACUGAGCUGAAUCCCCCGCCCCUAAAUUUGCAUAUCUGAAGCUGGAGCAGAGAAACCCUGAGAAUUUAUUGGAGAAUUUUAAUUCAGUGGACAGUGUAUACUCUGACCUUCAUACUGCACAGGAAAACCUGGAUAACUCAUCAAUGCAAGGGUCAGACUUGAAACAUUCAAACUCAUCAGAUAAUUCAAGAUCUCAUCAUGGAGAAAAUACACAACAUCU